rnacentral:rRNA from 1 species
GGCCUACCAUGGUGGUAACGGGUAACGGGGUGUUAGGGCACGACACCGGAGAGGGAGCCUGAGAAACGGCUACCACAUCCAAGGAAGGCAGCAGGCGCGCAAAUUACCCAAUCCCGACACGGGGAGGUAGUGACAAUAAAUAACAAUACAGGGUUCUUUUGGAUCUUGUAAUUGGAAUGAGUACAAUUUAAAUCUCUUAACGAGGAACAAUUGGAGGGCAAGUCUGGUGCCAGCAGCCGCGGUAAUUCCAGCUCCAAUAGCGUAUAUUAAAGUUGUUGCAGUUAAAAAGCUCGUAGUUGAAUUUCGGGAUCAAUAUUUCGGUCAUGCCGUUGGUAUGCACUGUUAUCAUUGAUUUCUCACCUUCUAAAGAACCGUAAUGCCAUUAAUUUGGUGUUACGGGGAAUUAGGACUGUUACCUUGAAAAAAUUAGAGUGUUUAAAGCAGGCUCACGCUUGAAUACAUUAGCAUGGAAUAAUGAAAUAGGACAUCCGAUUCUAUUUUGUUGGUUUCUAGGAUCGAUGUAAUGAUUAAUAGGGAUAGUUGGGGGCAUUAGUAUUCAAUUGUCAGAGGUGAAAUUCUUGGAUUUAUUGAAGACUAACUACUGCGAAAGCAUUUGCCAAGGAUGUUUUCAUUAAUCAAGAACGAAAGUUAGGGGAUCGAAGACGAUCAGAUACCGUCGUAGUCUUAACCAUAAACUAUGCCGACUAGGGAUCGGAUGAUGUUAAUUUUUUAAUGACUCAUUCGG